AUUGAACGCUGGCGGCAGGCUUGACACAUGCAAGUCGAGCGGGGUGAUGGUGCUUGCACUAUCACUUAGCGGCGGACGGGUGAGUAAUGCUUAGGAAUCUGCCUAUUAGUGGGGGACAACAUCUCGAAAGGGAUGCUAAUACCGCAUACGUCCUACGGGAGAAAGCAGGGGAUCACUUGUGACCUUGCGCUAAUAGAUGAGCCUAAGCCGGAUUAGCUAGUUGGUGGGGUAAAGGCCUACCAAGGCGACGAUCUGUAGCGGGGCGGAGAGGAUGAUUCGCCACAAUGGGAACGAGACACGGCCCAGACUCCUACGGGAGGCAGGCGUGGGGAAUAUUGGACAAUGGGGGGAACCCUGAUCCAGCCAUGCCGCGUGUGUGAAGAAGGCCUUAUGGUUGUAAAGCACUUUAAGCGAGGAGGAGGCUCUUUUGGUUAAUACCCAAGAUGAGUGGACGUUACUCGCAGAAUAAGCACCGGCUAACUCUGUGCCAGCCGCCGCGGUAA
rnacentral:rRNA from 1 species